GACGAACCCCUCUGAGAAACUUUAGCCUAAUGUUAUUAUGUAUAAAGUUAAUAGUUUCCCCCCCUUUUUUUCCAAAUUGGAACUUGUAGAAUCACUCAAUAGAUCUCGGCAAUCAAUAUAUGCAAUUACUUGAUAUGUUAUUGAUCUCAGAUGAAUAUACUUCUCGUUAAUCAUUCCUAAUGUCUCCACCAAUUGCUAUCUUCUUAAUUUUUCAGUAUCCAUAUGGGAGGAAUAUUUGCUAACAUUUUCAUCAUUGACCUCCUCUUCCACCACCACCAUCGUCACCAUCACCAUCAUUAUUGGUCAUCAUCACUGUCCGGUCAUUGUUACUGUCAUCAUUGUCAUCAUCAUCAUCAUCAUCAUCAUCACCAUCAUCAGCAGCUGCAAUAGCAGCUUGUCCAUCAACCCAGUCAUUGGCAGUGUUGGCAGCAUCUGCAUCAGUAUCAUCAUCCUCAUCAUCAAAAUCAUCACCAUCAUCAUCAUCAUCAUCAUCAUCAUCAUCAUUCCUGUUGAAGAAUGUACCUAUAUGCUGUGUACCUAUAUGCUGUGAUCCUGAAUUGGGAAGGGAUGUACGGCCCUUGGUUUCAGCCUUGGAUGAACCUUGAAACUAAUGUUCAGGUCGUUUGGGCAAUGCCGGCAGUAUAUUCUCCACAUUGUACAAAUGAUGUACUGCUUGUGGCGGCACUGGAGAGAAUAGAGUUUCAGGCUUUAAGGCGGUCCCAAUAAUCAAGAUCAGUCAUGCAAUCAAUUCGUUUAGUGAGUGCCCUCUGAGGUUAUUCAACCCUCGAGCUAUUUUGUUUUGUGUGGGGAGACCACAAGGGGCAACAGUAUUCGAGGUGUGGUUGUACAAAGGAGGAGAAAAGUGGAAUGAUGACACCUUGUUCUCUGGACUGGAAGGCUCCUAAGAUCCAGGAGCCCAUCCUUCUGAUCUCUAUGGUACAUCAAAUAUCAAAAGAUCUCCACUCAGUAUGGCUGCAACUCCUGUCUCCAGCCUACAUUUCGGUCAGGCUAAUAUCUGCCAGCUCCCACCCCAUAGUCUUUGAAAAAGUUUUGACAGAUCUGUCCUCAACUUCUAGGUGUAUCUUCUGGCUUGCUCCCACUCAAGUGAGAUUCUCACUAGUCUCUUCAUGAGACUAGUGAGCACAUAACCAAAUGCUUUUCACUAUCUUACCAUGCUGUUUUCUGUAGGUUACUCAGCCUAGCUUUGUCUGUGAUUUUCUUCAUUUGCAUUGUGGCUAUUCUUAGAAAUUAUUAGAAUGGUUCUAAGGCAAUGUCUGUUGAAGAUAUCUGAAGCUUUAUAGAUUCUACUGAUCUUUUUUUCCCUGGGAAUUAUCACCUCAAUGAUUAAUGUAUACAAACAGAGCUUAGUGACUUGAUUUACAGAGGAGUUAAAUCAUACAAUCUUCAGAAGACACCUGCAACCAUUCUGAAUCUUUUCUGUGUCAUAUAUAUUCAUUCUGUGUCGAAACUCAUAAUUUUCAAAUGAUUAAAUCUGAUUAUAGUCGACAUAAAAACAUAAAUCAAUAAGAAAUUGCUGAAUGAUAAACAAAGGGUAAACAAAAAUAAAUGAAGAGAAAUUAUAAACACAGAAUAAGCUGUUUAUUGUCAUCACUUUGAGAUGCUGUCUGUUAGAUAGCAAUAACUGUCUGAUAACAUUAAACAGGUGAUAUAACAUUUUGAAAUCUUAUAUAGCAGUACACAUGUUUGAUACUACUUAAUGUGGGUUGCAUGAAGUAAUGCCUCCUGUGCAUUCUGUAAUGUGGUCUGCAUUAGGAAGGGGGCAUCCAGUCAUAAAAACUAUGUCACUGAAACUCACUGCAGUCUAUGGACACAGGCCUAAAAUUUGGUGGGAGGGGGGCAGUCGAUUAGAUCGACCCCAGUACACAGCUGAUAUUUAAUUUAUCAACCCUGAAAGGAUGAAAAGCAAAGUCGACCUUGGUGGAAUUUGAACCCAGAAAGUAAAGACAGACGAAAUACCUAUUUCUAUUUCUUUACUACCCACAAGGAGCUAAACACAGGGAGGACAAGCAAGGAUAGACAAACGGAUUAAGCCGAUUAUAUCGACCCCAGUGCAUAACCGGUACUUAUUUAAUCGACCCCAAAAGGAUGAAAGGCAAAGUCGACCUCGGCGGAAUUUGAACUCAGAACGUAGCGGCAGACGAAAUACUGCUAAGCAUUUCGCUCGGCAUGCUAACGAUUCUGCCAGCUCACCACCUUUAGGUGUCAUCAUGCCAACUCGGAGCAUAGAGGUAAAUGAUGAUGAUGAUGAUAAUGAUGACACACAUACUCACACACACAUGAUAGAGUCCAAUAUUUGGUUUGACUUAAUUAUUAUGAUAUGCAACUCCCAGCUAUUACAAGCUAUCAUGUUCUUUGUUUACACAGAUAGGGAUUUGGUGUGGGGUUUUUUCAACUGCAUAUAUAACACACACAUACCAAUGUUGUUGUUUGUUCCUUCUUGAGCUGUGCCUAGCACACAAGGGCCGGUUUCCUGGUUUCAUUGGCAGAUAGGAUGAUGAUGAUGAUGAUGAGGAUGACAAAGACAAAGAUGACGAUGAUGAUGAUGAUGAUGAUGACGAUUAUGAUGAUGAUUAUGACAAUAACAAAGACAAUGACGACGAUGAUGAUGACAACGAUUAUGAUGAUGAGGAUGAUGAUGAUGAUGACGAUGAUGAUGAUGACGAUGAUGAUGAUGAUGAUGAUGAUGACGAUGACGAUUAUGAUGAUGAUUAUGACAAUGACAAAGACAAUGACGACGAUGAUGAUGACAACGAUUAUGAUGAUGAUGAUGAUGAUGAUGAUGAUGAUGAUGAUGAUGACGAUUAUGAUGAUGACGAUUAUGAUGCUGAUGCUGAUGUUGACAAUGACAAAGACAAUGACGACGACGAUGAUGAUGAUGAUGAUGACAUCAGGGGGUUUCUGUUUGAAGUAGUAAAUGGUUCGUUGAUCAUUAUUGAGAAGGGCUCUAAUUUUGUUGUUGCAUGGCUAGUCAUGCUCUUGUGUGUCAUAAAUGCUAAACUCAGUUUUGCAGUUUUGCAGCUUUGCAGCUAUUAACCACAGUUUUGUGCAAAUAGCAUGGCUUUUACUUUAAAUGAAGCAUCAUAUUAACAAUGUUUCCCUUUUGAAGUGGUAGUCACGGAUGAUUUGGUUUGGUCUUCUUUUCUUCCCUUUUUAUUUGUUUUACUCUGCAAUAAAAUUAUCAGAAGCAAAAAGACAAAUGAACAUCUAAAAAAAUUAUUAAUUUCAUAAACAGAUUUCAAUAUGCAUUACAGUUUAUUUAACAUAACAUAUAGUGUUUAACGUACUCAUGAAUCAAAAUAAAUAGCAUCAUGCUAGUAUGGCAAAGCAUGACUCAGGAAUUACUACAGGUUGCUGAAUGUACCAUGCUUUUGCUAACUGAUGCGUAUGUAGUUGUAACUGAUGCAUAUGUAGUUAUGAGCAGACAUAGUCUAGAUCCCAUCAACUUGUAUGUAAUGACUGAAUGGGAAAAUGAGCUAUACCAGCAACCUUUGCUAGUGGUUUUUACAGCUAAGUAAAACUAGAACAACAUGAAAUGAAGUGCUAUGCUCAAUGAUACAAUGUGCCACUCUAUCUAGGAACUGAACCCAUGUCUAUUAUAAUCACUGGCCCAAUACCUUAACCACUAGGCUACAUGAUUCCAAAAGCAUCAGGUUAACUAUAAGUAAAUAAUGGUUUCAAAUUUCAGCACAAGGCCAGUAAUUUUAGAUGGAGGGGUGGGAGUGGGGGUCAAGUCAGUUACUUCAACUGCAGUGCUUGGUUGGUACUUUAUUUUAUUGACUCUAAAAGGAUUCAAAAGUAAAGUUAAUCUUGGCAGGAUUUGAACUCAGAAUAUAAAGAAUUGAAACAAAGUAUUUUGACCAAUGUGCUAACAAUUCUAGCAGAAAAGAAACAAAUACAUAAACUCCACCCUUUGAUGCAUCAGCUGCAAAAUAGACUUUUAUGGUUAUUCCAGUAUUUACAGUAAUGAUGUUAACUAUCCUCUAAACAAAGUCAUCAUCGUCGUCAUCAUCAUCAUCAUCAUCAUCCUCAUCGUUUAAUAUCCGUCUUCCAAGCUAAUGUGGAUGGGACAAUACCACAAGAGCUAGCCAGACUGAAGCCUGCACCAGACUUCUGUGUCUGUUUUGGCCAGAUUUUUACAGCUGGAUGCCCUUCCAAACACCAAUCACUCAGCAGAGUGAACUUAGUGCUUUUUAACAUGUCACAAGCACAGGUGAGGUCAGUUUUGGGAAGGUUUUUACAGCUGGAUGCCCUUCCUAACACCAACUGCUCAGCAGAGUGUACUUAGUGCUUUUAAUGUGGCACAAGCACAGGUGAGGUCAGUCUUGGCAAGGUUUUUACAGCUGGAUGUCCUUCCUAACACCGACCACUCAGCAGAGUGGGCUUAGUGCUUUUUACGUGGCACAAGCACAGGUGAGGUCAGUUUUGGCAAGGUUUUUACAGCUGGAUGCCCUUCCUAACACCAGCCACUCAGCAGAGUGGAAUUAGUGCUUUUUACGUGGCACAAGCACAGGUGAGGUCAAUCUUGGCAAGGUUUUUACAGCUGGAUGUCCUUCCUAACACCAACCACUCAGCAGAGUGGGCUUAGUGCUUUUUACGUGGCACAAGCACAGGUGAGGUCAGUUUUGGCAAGGUUUUUACAGCUGGAUGUCCUUCCUAACACCAACCACUCAGCAGAGUGGACUUAGUGCUUUUUACGUGGCACAAGCACAGGUGAGGUCAGUUUUGGCAAGGUUUUUACAGCUGGAUGCCCUUCUGAACACCAACCACUUUGCAGCAUUGACUGGGUACUUUUAAGUGGCACCUGCACUGACAAGGCCACCAAGUACUUACAAGUAGAAGUGAUAUUUCCUGCAAGUCAAUUUACUUCAAUAAAAUUGACAUAUCUAAGAAAGAUAGUUUCAAACAUGACAUUUCUCAACAAAAGAUAGGUUGGUUUAUAAAACUACUUUCUAUGGUUAAAGGUAACGAAAUUUUUAAUGGAUAUACCUAAUUUCUGUAGCAAAAGAGCUAAGCCCUACUUUAACAAAAUUUCAAGAUUUAUGCUAAUAAAUUUUUACAAUGUGCUAACAAUUAUAGAAUAUGUAGGAAUAAAUAAAGUUGACCCUAUAAAGUGGUUGGCAUUAGGAAGGGCAUCCAGCCAUAAAGAACAUGGCAAAUCAGACCUUGCCAAUGCUAGUGCUUCAUAAAGGGCACCGAGUCCACUCUGCAAAGUUCCUGGUUUUUAGGAAAGGUAUCUUAGUUACGAAAACCAUACCAAAGUAAACUGUGGAGCUUGGCACAGUCCUUGGCCCCACUUGCUUCUGUUAAAGCUGCCAGAUCAAUGCCGGUCAUUAAAUGAUGAUGAUGA
rnacentral:lncRNA from 1 species